UUAAGCGACUAAGCGUACACGGUGGAUGCCCUGGCAGUCAGAGGCGAUGAAGGACGUGCUAAUCUGCGAUAAGCGUCGGUAAGGUGAUAUGAACCGUUAUAACCGGCGAUUUCCGAAUGGGGAAACCCAGUGUGAUUCGUCACACUAUCAUUACGUGAAUACAUAGCGUAAUGAAGCGAACCGGGGGAACUGAAACAUCUAAGUACCCCGAGGAAAAGAAAUCAACCGAGAUUCCCCCAGUAGCGGCGAGCGAACGGGGAGCAGCCCAGAGCCUGAAUCAGUGUGUGUGUUAGUGGAAGCGUCUGGAAAGGCGCGCGAUACAGGGUGACAGCCCCGUACACAAAAAUGCACAUGCUGUGAGCUCGAUGAGUAGGGCGGGACACGUGGUAUCCUGUCUGAAUAUGGGGGGACCAUCCUCCAAGGCUAAAUACUCCUGACUGACCGAUAGUGAACCAGUACCGUGAGGGAAAGGCGAAAAGAACCCCGGCGAGGGGAGUGAAAAAGAACCUGAAACCGUGUACGUACAAGCAGUGGGAGCACGCUUAGGCGUGUGACUGCGUACCUUUUGUAUAAUGGGUCAGCGACUUAUAUUCUGUAGCAAGGUUAACCGAAUAGGGGAGCCGAAGGGAAACCGAGUCUUAACUGGGCGUUAAGUUGCAGGGUAUAGACCCGAAACCCGGUGAUCUAGCCAUGGGCAGGUUGAAGGUUGGGUAACACUAACUGGAGGACCGAACCGACUAAUGUUGAAAAAUUAGCGGAUGACUUGUGGCUGGGGGUGAAAGGCCAAUCAAACCGGGAGAUAGCUGGUUCUCCCCGAAAGCUAUUUAGGUAGCGCCUCGUGAAUUCAUCUCCGGGGGUAGAGCACUGUUUCGGCAAGGGGGUCAUCCCGACUUACCAACCCGAUGCAAACUGCGAAUACCGGAGAAUGUUAUCACGGGAGACACACGGCGGGUGCUAACGUCCGUCGUGAAGAGGGAAACAACCCAGACCGCCAGCUAAGGUCCCAAAGUCAUGGUUAAGUGGGAAACGAUGUGGGAAGGCCCAGACAGCCAGGAUGUUGGCUUAGAAGCAGCCAUCAUUUAAAGAAAGCGUAAUAGCUCACUGGUCGAGUCGGCCUGCGCGGAAGAUGUAACGGGGCUAAACCAUGCACCGAAGCUGCGGCAGCGACGCUUAUGCGUUGUUGGGUAGGGGAGCGUUCUGUAAGCCUGCGAAGGUGUGCUGUGAGGCAUGCUGGAGGUAUCAGAAGUGCGAAUGCUGACAUAAGUAACGAUAAAGCGGGUGAAAAGCCCGCUCGCCGGAAGACCAAGGGUUCCUGUCCAACGUUAAUCGGGGCAGGGUGAGUCGACCCCUAAGGCGAGGCCGAAAGGCGUAGUCGAUGGGAAACAGGUUAAUAUUCCUGUACUUGGUGUUACUGCGAAGGGGGGACGGAGAAGGCUAUGUUGGCCGGGCGACGGUUGUCCCGGUUUAAGCGUGUAGGCUGGUUUUCCAGGCAAAUCCGGAAAAUCAAGGCUGAGGCGUGAUGACGAGGCACUACGGUGCUGAAGCAACAAAUGCCCUGCUUCCAGGAAAAGCCUCUAAGCAUCAGGUAACAUCAAAUCGUACCCCAAACCGACACAGGUGGUCAGGUAGAGAAUACCAAGGCGCUUGAGAGAACUCGGGUGAAGGAACUAGGCAAAAUGGUGCCGUAACUUCGGGAGAAGGCACGCUGAUAUGUAGGUGAAGUCCCUCGCGGAUGGAGCUGAAAUCAGUCGAAGAUACCAGCUGGCUGCAACUGUUUAUUAAAAACACAGCACUGUGCAAACACGAAAGUGGACGUAUACGGUGUGACGCCUGCCCGGUGCCGGAAGGUUAAUUGAUGGGGUUAGCGGUAACGCGAAGCUCUUGAUCGAAGCCCCGGUAAACGGCGGCCGUAACUAUAACGGUCCUAAGGUAGCGAAAUUCCUUGUCGGGUAAGUUCCGACCUG
rnacentral:rRNA from 1 species